ensembl:snoRNA Gm56180 predicted gene, 25544
GUGUGGAUUGGAUUAUGGUAAGCCUAUCCUUCAGGGCCUCUCACAAUGUCGAAAGCCGAAGCAAACCAUGACCGUAGCCCAUUGCCUAGCCUCUGUCCUUAGGCUGCUAACACUGUUGUGAAUUGUGCAGUG